CGGGCCGGUCCGCAAUGGGUAUU
rnacentral:siRNA from 1 species